GUAGGUGGCGAACGUUGUCCGGAUUUACUGGGCGUAAAGCGCGCGCAGGCGGACUGGUCAGUCCAGGGUGAAAUCUCCCGGCUCAACUGGGAGGAGUCCCCGGAUACUGCCAGUCUUGAGGUGCCUAGAGGAGAGUGGAAUUCAGGGUGUAGUGGUGGAAUGCGUAGAUAUCCUGAGGAACACCAGUGGCGAAAGCGACUCUCUGGGGGCAACCUGACGCUGAGGCGCGAAAGCGUGGGGAGCGAACCGGGAUUAGAUACCCGGGUAGUCCACGCCGUAAACGAUGAGUACUAGCUGUAUGGGGGUAUCGACUCCCUGUGUAGCGAAGCUAACGCGAUAAGUACUCCGCCUGGGGACUACGGCCGCAAGGCUA
rnacentral:rRNA from 1 species